UACAGAGGGUGCGAGCGUAAUCGGAAUUACUGGGCGUAAAGCGCACGUAGGUGGCGACGUAAGUCGGGUGUGAAAGCCCCGGGCUCAACCUGGGAAUUGCAUUCGAGACUGCAUUGCUGGAGUACGGAAGAGGAAGGCGGAAUUCCCGGUGUAGCGGAUGAAUGCGCAGAUAUCAGGAGGAACCACGGUGGCGAAGGCGGAUCUCUGGGCCUUACCUGACGCUGAGGCGCGAAAGCUAGGGGAGCGAACAGG
rnacentral:rRNA from 1 species